UACGGAGGGUGCAAGCGUUGCUCGGAAUUAUUGGGCGUAAAGGGCAGGUAGGUGGUCUCAUUUGUCUGGGGUGAAAGCCUUGAGCUUAACUCAAGAAGUGCCCCAGAAACGGUGAGACUAGAGUUCUGGAGAGGGUCGUGGAAUUCCCGGUGUAGCGGUGAAAUGCGUAGAGAUCGGGAGGAACACCAGAGGCGAAGGCGGCGACCUGGACAGAUACUGACACUCAACUGCGAAAGCGUGGGGAGCAAACAGG
rnacentral:rRNA from 1 species